rnacentral:rRNA from 1 species
UACGGAGGGGGCUAGCGUUGUUCGGAAUUACUGGGCGUAAAGCGCACGUAGGCGGCUUUGUAAGUCAGAGGUGAAAGCCUGGAGCUCAACUCCAGAACUGCCUUUGAGACUGCAUCGCUUGAAUCCAGGAGAGGUGAGUGGAAUUCCGAGUGUAGAGGUGAAAUUCGUAGAUAUUCGGAAGAACACCAGUGGCGAAGGCGGCUCACUGGUCCGGUACUGACGCUGAGGUGCGAAAGCGUGGGGAGCAAACAGG